UACGAAGGGGGCUAGCGUUGCUCGGAAUCACUGGGCGUAAAGCGCACGUAGGCGGCUUAUUAAGUCAGGGGUGAAAUCCCGGAGCUCAACUCCAGAACUGCCUUUGAUACUGAAGAUCUUGAGUUCGGGAGAGGUGAGUGGAACUGCGAGUGUAGAGGUGAAAUUCGUAGAUAUUCGCAAGAACACCAGUGGCGAAGGCGGCUCACUGGCCCGUUACUGACGCUGAGGCACGAAAGCGUGGGGAGCAA
rnacentral:rRNA from 1 species